UGGCACGUAAUGCAGUUGUGUGAGCACACAUUUUCCACUUCUGGAUCAAGAAGGCAUGCAAAAAGAUGUUCUUCAUCUUCAUUUCCAUAACUAGGGUCAGUGCUUCUUAGUAUUUGGGUUAAGAUUUUCAGGUGAUAAGGUAGCCCUGUGCUCUUUGUGACUGUUUAUGUUCUGCAACUGGCAUGCAUGGCAUGAACAAACAAUUCACACAACGAAAGUACUCCAAACUGCCCACCACUGCUUUCCCCUCUAAUAAGAACUUUUCUGCGUAAGAUGCAGACCAUGCUACAGCUCUGCAGCUGAACUCAGUGUAUUCACAUGCAACAGUCAUGGAAGAAGCUGAGUUCUAUAGUUUUAAAGAACAAAUGCACUUUAAUUUUUAUUCAGGCCUGCCUGCAAUUAAGCUGAAGGGUUUGCAUGUCUGCUAGUCUACAUGUGGGUAGAAAGGCAGUGAGGUUAAGAUAAUAGGCUUAAAAUGUAUUCUCAGAAAACAUUUAAAACCACAGUAGGGUGUGAUUGUAUGCAAAUAAGUAUUUUUGCAAUAGCAGAUUAAGCACCUUAUGGAAUUUGUAUGGAAAGCUGCAUGCUUGUACAUGAUGCAAAGUAUGAUUAAGCACCGGUGUGUGUGGAGUUUUUGCCUUCGGUAAAAAAAAAAAUUAAGGCAGAUUUAAAUCAAUCAUUGGCUUUCUCAGUCUUUACACAGCGUAAGCUGUAAGUUAUGAAUGGUGAUUAUAAGAGAGAAAAUGUUAAAAAUAACAUUUCUUUUUCCCCCCUGGGUCUGCAUCCUUAAAGCGUAUGUCCUGCUGUGGUUGCUAGGCCAGAAAAAGCAUUGCACUUGCAGAAGGUCUCUGCUGUAGGAUGGCAACGCAGAGGAUCUGCAACAGGGAGAAAAGAAAACUGGUGAACGAUGUCUUCCUAAUACAGCUAUUCUGGAAAAUGUGUGCAGAGGAGCCUGGAGGAUGGAGACCACGGAAUUCUUCUCAGGAUGGCCUGGCUCAGGUCUUUGUUUUCUACUGUUUGACGAGAGUGAUAAAGGAGCUGUAGCACAGAAAUGGGGAGGAAGGAGGAACUUAUGAAGGGCAGCUCUUCGGGAAAAUAUACAAAAUACACUGCAAGAAAAUGCAAAGUCCAUGUGAGGGCACACAGCGGCAACGGCUGGGUGGCAAAUGGAAAAAACUGUUUCUUUAAACUUACACAGAGGUGGCUACCAGGCUUCUGAGAGCUUUAGCUUAAUCCUUGUGAAGGAAUGCUGUAAAGUCUGCCUAUCGUGACAUAUAAAACAUUACAGAAGUAAGUGGC
rnacentral:lncRNA from 1 species